rnacentral:rRNA from 1 species
UACGGAGGGUGCGAGCGUUGUCCGGAAUUAUUGGGCGUAAAGGGCUCGUAGGCGGUUUGUCGCGUCGGGAGUGAAAACCUCAUGCUUAACAUGUGGCUUGCUUUCGAUACGGGCAGACUAGAGGUAUGCAGGGGAGAACGGAAUUCCUGGUGUAGCGGUGAAAUGCGCAGAUAUCAGGAGGAACACCGGUGGCGAAGGCGGUUCUCUGGGCAUUACCUGACGCUGAGGAGCGAAAGUGUGGGGAGCGAACAGG